rnacentral:rRNA from 1 species
GCAUAUCAAUAAGNGGAGGAAAAGAAACUAACAAGGAUUCCCCUAGUAACUGCGAGUGAAGCGGGAAAAGCUCAAAUUUAAAAUCUGGUAGUCUUUGGCUGCCCGAGUUGUAAUCUAGAGAAGCGUUAUCCGCGCUGGACCGUGUAUAAGUCUCCUGGAAUGGAGCGUCAUAGAGGGUGAGAAUCCCGUCUUUAACACGGACUCCCAGGGCUUUGUGAUGNNCUCUCAAAGAGUCGAGUUGUUUGGGAAUGCAGCUCUAAAUGGGUGGUAAAUUCCAUCUAAAGCUAAAUAUUGGCGAGAGACCGAUAGCGAACAAGUACCGUGAGGGAAAGAUGAAAAGAACUUUGGAAAGAGAGUUAAACAGUACGUGAAAUUGUUGAAAGGGAAACGCUUGAAGUCAGUCGCNUUGGUCAGGGAUCAACCUUGCUUUUGCUUGGNNU